CGAGCGAGAGAGAGCUUGCUUUCUCGAGCGAGUGGCGAACGGGUGAGUAACGCGUGAGGAACCUGCCUCAAAGAGGGGGACAACAGUUGGAAACGACUGCUAAUACCGCAUAAGCCCACGACCCGGCAUCGGGUAGAGGGAAAAGGAGCAAUCCGCUUUGAGAUGGCCUCGCGUCCGAUUAGCUAGUUGGUGAGGUAACGGCCCACCAAGGCGACGAUCGGUAGCCGGACUGAGAGGUUGAACGGCCACAUUGGGACUGAGACACGGCCCAGACUCCUACGGGAGGCAGCAGUGGGGAAUAUUGCACAAUGGGGGAAACCCUGAUGCAGCGACGCCGCGUGGAGGAAGAAGGUCUUCGGAUUGUAAACUCCUGUUGUUGAGGAAGAUAAUGACGGUGCUCAACAAGGAAGUGACGGCUAACUACGUGCCAGCAGCCGCGGUAAAACGUAGGUCACAAGCGUUGUCCGGAAUUACUGGGUGUAAAGGGAGCGCAGGCGGGAAGACAAGUUGGAAGUGAAAUCCAUGGGCUCAACCCAUGAACUGCUUUCAAAACUGUUUUUCUUGAGUAGUGCAGAGGUAGGCGGAAUUCCCGGUGUAGCGGUGGAAUGCGUAGAUAUCGGGAGGAACACCAGUGGCGAAGGCGGCCUACUGGGCACCAACUGACGCUGAGGCUCGAAAGUGUGGGUA
rnacentral:rRNA from 1 species